rnacentral:rRNA from 1 species
CAGCACCUCAAGUGGUCAGGAUGAUUAUUGGGCCUAAAGCAUCCGUAGCCGGCGCUGUAAGUUUUCGGUUAAAUCUGUACGCUCAACGUACAGGCUGCCGGGAAUACUGCAGCGCUAGGGAGUGGGAGAGGUAGACGGUACUCGGUAGGAAGGGGUAAAAUCCUUUGAUCUAUUGAUGACCACCUGUGGCGAAGGCGGUCUACCAGAACACGUCCGACGGUGAGGGAUGAAAGCUGGGGGAGCAAACCUGAUUAGAUACCCGAGUAGUCC